CUGCGAUGAUGACUCUUAGGACACCUUUGGAUGUAAAUAAUGAAAAUACUAUGAAUUCUGAGCAGC